rnacentral:lncRNA from 1 species
GGGGGGGGCUUUUUAGGGCUGCACCUGUGGCAUGUGGAGGUUCUCAGGCUAGCUGGCGGCUACAGCUCCGAUUAGAUCCCUAGCUUGGGAACCUCCAUAUGCCACGGGAGUGGCCCAAGAAAUGGCAAAAAGCCAAAAAAAAAACAGUGGCCCUCACACUUGAGAUGCAUCAGAACCCCCUAGAAGGCCUGUUACGGUACAAACAGCACGUCCCACCCCUGGAGCAUCAGCUUCAGUAGGCAUCUCAUAAGUUCCUGGCCGAGGGUGGGCAUGGGAGAGUGGGGGCAGGGGGAGGGGAGGCUGAGGCUGCUGGUCCAAGGACCACUCUUUGAAAACCACAGAGCUGGAGUACAGCAUCCAAAAGCAGUGAACGGGAAGCAUGCUAACGUGUCUACAGCAUGCGACUUCAUUGGGUUCCUCUUAGAAAUCUGUUUUAUGAAGUCCGGGUGGUUUCGAAGUUUAAAAAGCAUCUAUUAAUUGUGUUUUGAAGCAGAUGCUAUUAGUGGGAGACUCUUCUUGGCCUCCCUCCCAGCUAAACGUGGCCACUCUGUCCAUCUGCUAACAGUGCAGCUUCGUCGAAGCAGACACCCUGCCAGCCCGAGGGACACUGGCAGGGCCCCUUUCCUUUUACCAGGCCUGAAGGCAGAUGCCAGCCUUGCUUAGAUGAGGGCCCCGAACGCUGUUGCUGAGUCGGGACCACAGGAGGUGUGCCACGCACGUUGUGAGUACGUGUAAACACUCUCCAAAGACACAAACCCUUUCAGUCUAGCAGACGUUAAGGCAUCUUUCUCUGUAUAACUAUGUCCAAUUUCAUUUGCACUCCUCUGGGUUUACUCCUGGAAGCCAUUCAAGUCCACUAGCCCAGAACAAGCCUACGCUUUCACCGGCUUCUCCAGCCAGAUUCCACCUGUCUUCAGCGGGAGAGGCUGGCACACAGAACGCCUGACUGCUCCAGUGGUUUCUUUUUUCUUUUCUAACAUACCUCCCUGCUCCCCACCAGACCUGUAGGUUCUCUGACUUUAUUCCCAAGCACCACCUAGGCUGGUAGGUCAAGAAUACAACAGUCCAUCUCUUCGCAGUGGAAAUUACCCAUCUCAUUUCUUAAGAAACCGUUUUCUGACCCGGGUUUCUGGAGGUCACACGUUUUUCAGAGCCCCCAGUGUAUUUCGCUUGGGCAUAUCAGAAGCUCAGUUUUCAGCAAGGUGGGCAAUUUUGACUAAAUGCGGCUGUCAAGGCCUCAAAUUAGAAGAAACAUUAGCCAGUUGGCAUGACAGUGCAAUAGCUAUCUGCUCUAUCUGCCAGGUUUUCGUUACCAGCCUUGAAGCCAAAAAGAAAUGGGCUUCUUGGAAACAAGUGAUGGAAUUCUGGUUGUGAAUUAUAUAACCCACCAGCUUUCCUCAGACAACGGGGGAUACUUUUAAAAUAAAGUUUUUAAGAUGGAGAAAUGAAUGAAAAACAGUGAAAAAAAAAAAAAAAAACCCAAACCAAACCAAAGCCACCACCCAGUCCUCCCAGCUCCGUCCUGACUCUGAGAACCUCCCAGGCCAGCCCUUCCUUUCCUCUCCUUCCAGUCCAAGUAGUUAACAAGUGCUGCCACUUUAAGAGCAGGAAGGUGUUGUUUUAAGGGCCUCUAAAGCCCCCCUUCUCAAUUUCAGCUCCAAGCUGAGAUCACAUCCCCCACAGCAGCCAAGGGACAAAAGCCAUUUAUCAACCCAUCUGAUAAAACUUUCAAUGGGCUGGAUCUUUAUCUGGACCAAACCAAGACGCACACACAUUGCAAACUCCUGCUUCUCCAAAAGGGGGAUUUCUUUUUUUAAAGAAGAGGGUCAUUUAAAAUUCUGGGAGGGAACCAAACCAGUCUUCCAACCAGACCCUUCUAUAGGUGGGGAAAUUGCCUUAAAAAAAGGGAUGGGGCGAGAGGGAGCAGGUCACCCUGCUGUUUGACCCUCUAGGGAGGUUGUAAUAUUCCAGGUGAGGGUGCAGGAGGUCCAAGGGCUCUUUGGGACAUUGACACCCCUCAUCCUGUAUUUGGCUGGAACCUCCCCAGUGGAAUUCAGGCCUGUGAGCUGGUUGAGACUCUCUGGAGGCCCCUGGGGCAAGGGGUCCAGCAGGCUGGGGGUGGGGGGUGGNNNNNNNNNNNNNNNNGGCUGGGGUGGGGGUGCUGGAGCAGGGAUGGGGCGGGAAAGUAAAUGGAUCCCUUGCCCCUUACAGCUGCCUGCACAGUCCUCCCACCGGGAGCCCCAACUUACAGCCAGGCUGAGUCUGGACUGCCCAGUUCUGCCAGUUCCUGAAACCCAGUUGGCUGAGAAGCAAAACAAAACAACCCAAUCCCAGUCUAACUCAAGUCCUUUCUUGCAAAGCUCAGUAGAGCGCGGGGGCUGCGGAUCCA